CCUACGGGGGGCUGCAGUCGAGAAUAUUCAGCAAUGGACGAAAGUCUGACUAUGCGACGCCGCGUGAGGGAUGAAGGAUUUCGGUUCGUAAACCUCUUUCGAUAGGGAAGAAACUACUGGUCUGAUAAGGGCUAGUUCUGACGGUACCUAGAGAAGAAGCCAUGGCCAACUCCGUGCCAGCAGCCGCGGUAAUACGGGGAUGGCGAGCGUUACUCGGAUUUACUGGGUGUAAAGGGCAGGUAGGCGGCUUUGUAAGUUGUAGGUGAAAUCCUCUGACUCAAUCAGAGAACAGCCUUCAAAACUGCAUUGCUUGAGGACAGAAGAGGAAAGGGGAAUUCCCGGUGUAAGGGUGAAAUCUGUAGAUAUCGGGAGGAACACCAGUGGCGUAAGCGCCUUUCUGGUCUGUCUCUGACGCUGAGGUGCGAAAGCUAGGGUAGCAAACAGGAUUAGAUACCCUGGUAGUC
rnacentral:rRNA from 1 species